rnacentral:rRNA from 1 species
CCCUAUUAUUUUAGAUGUUAAGUUUUUGGCCUGAGUAGUAUUAGUUAUGUUCUUUAAACUUAAAGAAUUUGGCGGUAUUUCAUUCCUUUCAGAGGAAUCUGCCUCGUUAUCGAUAAUCCGCGUUGGACCUUACUUAAUUUCUUUGGUUUGUAUACCGCCGUUAGUGGUGAGGAUCUUCUGAGGGUUAUAAUUUUCUGUAUUUUUUAUUUAGAAUUUAUUUCAGGUCAAGGUGCAGCUUUAUUUAAGUUGAUGGUGGAUUACAUUUAUUUUUAAUGUUUGGAUUGUUUAAUUUAAUUUUUUGCAUGAAAUUGGAUUUGAUUGUAAUUUGUUGAAGAUUGUAUUAGUGAUUUUGGUUCUGGAAUAUGUACACAUCGCCCGUCGCUCUCAUUGUUUUAUAUGGAGGUGAGAUAAGUC